rnacentral:snoRNA from 10 species
CUCUAUGACAUACACAGAAUAACAAGCAUACAAUGGAACUUACAAGUGAUGUCAUCUUACUUCUGAAAAG